AAUAGGACUUUGAAAAUAAGAAAUAGGUAACUGUAACUCUUUCAUGGAACUAUAGUUUAAAAUAAUAUAGCAUAAGGCAUGGAAAAAUAAACUUCUAAAAUACGUAGGUUUUUAAGAAAAUACAUAUUAACAGUAAUGCUUUAUAUGUAAGCUACAUAUAACAAGAGGGUCAUCUUCCUAAUAUUCAGAGUAAGAGAGACCUACUGGAGAUGGCUUGUUUUGUUUUUCAAGACCACAGAAAGAACUAAAAGUUUUACUUCUCUCUAGGAGGACAGCCAGGCCUCCUGCAAAGGCCGACUGGGUGUACUGUCAGUUGUUGAUAAGCCAUUCAGUUCCACUGUGGAAGAAAGUUGCAGAAUAAAGGCUGAACAACAACAAAUGAAGGAAGGUCGGAGCGGUCUGCAGGAAGGGUGCCAGUCUGCAGGAAGUUGCCCAUCAUGGGCUGGGAAUCCCCUUUAACACUUGGCAUCUGCCAACUCUUCCUGGGGUGCUACACAAAUUCUCUGGGCUUUCCUACAAUCCAAAGGAGAGAGAAGCCCCUCAGAAUGAAGGAUAAUCUUUCUGCCUAUAUGGGUAGUGGGAGAGCUUACUCUAAUUGGAUCUGAAAAAGUAAAUGUGAUAGGACAGUUUAUGCUUGUUAAAUAAUGCUUUGAAUAGAACUUUUCAAAUUAUAUUUCAAUCUAAAAGUGGCAAAAAUUCUAUCAGUAAAAGAAUUCCUACACUGGUCAUAGAAGUAUUGGGACAUUAGUAAAAUAUACAAAUACAUUUACCCACGGAACGAUGAAUUACACUCAAAAUUCUUAUGCAGCCUCCUGAAGGCAUGAGGCUGUCCCUUGUCUUGGGAGGGGUUUUCAGUCUACCAGAUAGAGCACUGCUUCUCAAACUUCAGUGUGAAUACUGACCAUCCUGGGAGUUUGUUAAAGUGCAGAAUUCUACGUUUGAUGACAAGCUCCUAAGUGAUGCUGAUGCUGUAAUUACAGACCUUAAUUUGGGUAGCAGUGACUUAGAGCUGCCUGCCUAGGUAAGUGUACACGAUUCACUCUAGUAACUAGAUUACUUUUCAAAAUAGGAAACUUUACAUUUGAAACUUACUUGUUAAGAUCAACUUCUGUGAGUCUUCUAUGAAAAUCUGAAGCAGCAUCUGAGAAGUUUUUCACAGCAGAAAAUAAAGAAUCUUUUAAAAAUAGAAAAAUGGAAGGUAUAUUAGUAAAUGCUUCUUAUUUCAGAUGUUCACUUCCCUGCCCUCCACAUUCCAGGAUGACAGGACUGAAUAGAUAUUAAAACUGUUUUUCUACUGAGCCUUCUUGUACAUCCAUGAAGAUAUUGUAACAAAGAGAUAAUGGAUAAAACAACAUUUCUAAAUUGGUUCUUCAUAAAGGAACUUUCAAGAGUCUAGGACAUAAUUAUUUUAACUCCUAAUUUACCAUUCAUGUAGAUAAUCAUUCAAUAUAUAUUAAUACAACUUCUAUAUGCUAGAUACUGGCUACAGCUAUAAAUUGAGCUGUGUUCCUGCAAUAAUUAGAGAAUAAAUCAAUGUUAACCAACCCCUCUUUUUAAGCAGUGCAUUUAAGAUCUUGUUUAAAUGCAACCUGUGACAAGCUGGUGUAUGUGGACUCAAACAGGAUCAGGUCUGGUCUAGUCAAGUUUUUCUUUAGUUAACAUAGAUUCUAAGAAGUGAGAAGAUUCUCAACAUAUUUUUUUAUUACAACAACCUGUAUCAUUUUCCAUCUUUUCUAAACUGAACAUUAGCAUAAAUCAUUGAUUUCCUUCAUUAAUCCUGUGAUACAGGGAAUACAAUAUUCAUUUGGCAGAGAAAGCACUUACUGCUCCACAGGAUUUCUGUUAGGUCACACAGCUAGUAAAUAGUUACUUUCAAUAUAAAAGACAAGGUCUUUUUUAGCCCUAGAUAUCCUUUAAGCUCUAAUUAUUGUUGCUAUUCUUAAAGCCAAGUACAAAAUAAUCUAAUAAUAGAUAUUUUUGAAGCCAAAGAGUGUUGAGGAAAGAAUUUUAAAUUUCCAAUGAAUCACAAUAGUCAAAUUGGAUAAGAAAUAAAACAUGUGCCUGGUAUUUAGUAACCAGUGAAUAACUUUGGCAAAAGCAAUUUCAGUAGAGUGUUAGGAAGAUAGGACAGUACUAGAUUGGUAGAAGGAAGUAGAGAACUGGAGACCAUGUAAAUUACAUAUCCAUCCUAUCCAUCAUUCAUUCAUUAAAACAUGUUAGGGACUGCUUUUUGCCUGGCACUAAAUGAAGAAUUUUGAUUGGGAAGGGAGUAGGGUACAUUAGGUAGAAGAAAUGUUUAUAAGAAAGUUACAAAAUGGUUUAACGUGGAUGGAAUAUUGCCACUGAGGUGGAGAGGGUGAAAAUAUGGGGGGAAAGGGGCAUUAAUAGAGUAGGUUAAGUCACUUUGUGUGAAGAGUGGCCUUCCCCUGUAACUGUGUGCUUUCUCUCUCGGUUGGAUCCUGACUUAAAGUGAUAAAAGGUAAUUCACCAAAAGAAAAUCGGGGCAUCUAGGAAAAGAAGAGGAUGCUGGCGAGCCACAGAACUGUGAAUGUCUAUCUCGCUGCCAGCUCUGCUUUUUCCGAUUUCUUUUGCCUCGUUAAAGAGACUCGCCAAUCCAAUUUUUCUUAGAAACUAGACAACUGUGUUCAGAUUGAUGACAGAAUAUAAAAGUGAACAGGCCUUGAAAGAGUUUAAUGAGUAUCAGGAUACAGAUUUAUUUUGCUUUCAUCUCUGUUCUGAUUCUGGAGAAUCAGAUUUACAAAAGGUAUGUAUUCUAGGCAAGCAAAACUGUGUAUUGCAAUUAUGAUUUGAAAAUUAUUAAAAUCUGUGACAAAUCUG